rnacentral:rRNA from 1 species
AGAGUUAAACAGUACGUGAAAUUGUUGAAAGGGAAACGAUUGAAGCCAGUCGUGCUGGCGGGAAAUCAGCUUUCGGGAUUACUGGAGGUGCACUUUCUCGCAAGGCAGGUUAGCAUCAAUUUCGCACGUUGUAAAAAGUCCGUCGGAAUGUGGCUCUGAUUUCGGUUGGAGUGUUAUAGCCAGCGGUCAAUGCGACGGGUGGGAUUGAGGAUUGCAGCGGGUGCCUUUUAGGCUAAGUGCCUGGCCCUUGUUCGUGAUCAUCUUGGCAACAGCGUGCUGGUGUUGAGAACGAUUCGUGGACACGGGGUGUAGCGUCACGGUAAACUCGUUAAGGAUGUUGACGUAAUGGCUUUAAACGACC